AGGAUUUUUAACGUUAAAACCCCUCAACUAUGUUUAUUUUGGGUAAAAAACCCCAAACUAAGUAUUUAACGUAAAAGCCCCCAAACUAACUUUAUUUAAUUAAGUAAACCCUAGCAGGUCAUAAUUACCAAUACUACCGGUAAAUCUUUAAUUUAGGGAUUUCUACAUUAAGUAAACAUAGUUGAGGGGUUUUACCAUUAAAAAUCAAGAAAAUCAAAAUUUUAUAAUAUUAUCUAAAAAUUAGUAACUUAAAUUUUUAAAAUUAGCAUUUUUAAUUUUUUUUUUGUAAAUAUAUGAAUUUGAUGUGUUCUUAACAUCAACAUUAUAUAUGUAUAAAUUAAAAAUGUAAAAACCGAGAAAAUAUAAAAAAAUUUAUAUAAAGAAUUUAGACGCAAUAAGACUUUCUUCUCUAACUUCCGGAUCAGACAUAUUCCAAGAGCACAAAAUACUAUGGCGGACAAGUUUGCAAGUGGUGCGAGGAGUUCUCCUUCAGCUAUGUUAUAUGUCGAUUCAAUACUUUCGGUUUGGCUUUCUGAAUCGCGCGGUCCAGUUACUUAGUUCUCGCUUAUGUUGUCAAAAAAAAGUUACUAAUUUUUAAAUAAUAUUAUAAAAUUUUGAUUUUUUUUGUUUUUUAAAUUUUUAAUGGUAAAACCCCUCAACUAUGUUUACUUAAUGUAGAAACCCCUAAAUUAAAGAUUUACCGGUAGUAAUGGUAAUUAUGAUCUGGUAGGGUUUAAUUCAUUAAAUAACGUUAGUUCAAGGGUUUUUUCAUUAAAUACUUAGUUUGGGUUUUUUUACCCAAAACAAACUUAGUUGAGGGGUUUUAACGUUAAAAAUCCUAUAUAUUAUUAUAUUUUGGUCAAACGUUAGUUUGCAAUUAGAAAAACCUUACACUUAUCCGGGGUUAGUGAUAGAUAGGUUAGUCAAUAUUUAUGGGUAUCCUAGUUGCACUAUUUUAAAAACUAUUUCGUACUUGAUUGACUCAAUUACUGUCUUGGUGGUGAGACUAAUUAGAGCAUCUUCGACUUAUCUCUAUGUUUUUGUUUUAAAAUACAAAGUUAUUUUUUCACUUUUAUUUUUCUUUUACAUAGAUAUUAUUAUUUUCUCUACGUGUGGAAGAAAAAAUAAUAUUCUUCUAUUUUAUUUUAUUUUUAGAGAUCAAUAUUUCUAAAGAAUACCUUCUAUAUUUUUAACAGUUGUUCUAUAUUUUAUAAAAGUACUAAAAUGCAUUGUGGUAUUACAAAGUUAUUUAAUUACGUUACUGGCACACCAAAUUAAGAUGGUAGCAUGAUUCAUAUGCACAUGACUAUGAUCUAAUGCGGUUAACUUUUCUGUUGCUUCAGAAAUUAAAUAUCAAAUUUAUAAACAAGUAUAGUUGAAGAACUGCAUUUAUUUUGUGAAACAAAAAGAAAAUUAGAAAACAAAGAAAUUCGUUGAUUAAUAUAUAAAAAUUAACUCUACAAGAAUAUAGAAAGAGUGAACGGUAAUUUAGAGAAAGCAGAAAACGUAAAAAUUCGUUAUACAGUAAAUCGGUUAACAAAAAAGAACUCAUCUUUUCUCAUUUUCUCUUUUUGUUUUUACUAGUUUGAAGUACCAUCUAAUUUUAAUUUUGAUAUUUACUUAACAAAAAAAGAAUUUUUGGUUGGUGUUUAACUUUUAUUUGAGUGUUAUUAUAUUUCGGUUAUAUUGUCUUUUCUUUUUUCGAGCAACUCGGUUAUAUUGUCUAUAUUGUAUUUUACUUUGAUCAAUUUUUAUUUGAGGUUAUCAUUUUGAGUUUUAUAAUACUAAUAUUAUUUCAAAACUCAUACUAUUUAAUUUGGAUUACCGCCAUUUUUUUUGUUUUUAGUCUUGUUAUGUGUCUUCUCCUAGAUCUCGUAUGUUAUUACGUAAGAUUGAAUUUAUUUAAAUUUGAGAAAGCAGAUGCCUAGUAAGAGUGUAAGACACAUGCAUGUGUGUACUUGUUGUCAAAAAAAACAUGUUACCAAUUUCUGUUGAUGCUUAUUUUAUAGGUAUUAUUAACUUGCAGUUCAGUUUACAAAGGACGAUAGUAUUAUAUAAGCACAGUUUAUCAAAUACAUACUGUCAAGAAAACAAGAUUGUUAAUUUUCGUGAACUCAUAUCACCCGAUUUGGUUAACCAAAUCUCUUAAUGAAUUUAGUAAUGAUGCUGACAUAAAACAUAAUAUUCAUAGACUAAUCAAUUUACAGGAUUAAAAAUGAAAUAGUCCUGCAAUCCUCCACAAAGUUGUCCACUGUAACCAUCAUACAUUAAUUAUAAUAGUACCGUGCACCGCAAUUAAGUUGAUACCUCACCUCAUUUUCCAGUAGUAUACUUCACUGGAGCAUUAAACUUCCUAAUUGUGAGGACCAUCCAUUUACUCAUUUUCCCAAUUUCCACCCCAUUAUUUGGCUACAGACCUAAUUAACCCAAGCUACUAUAGUGAAGCAAUAUUUGUCUUAUGUAUGACUUUGUCAACCGGUCAACUAUUUUCUCUACACCUCGACUUGCAAAGGAGAAUAAAUAGUACAUCGAUUCUUUCACUGAGUUCUCUGUCACAUUAGUUGUCUAAACCAUAUAUAUCAAAAAUGUUCUCGUGGUCGAAUAGUUUCACAAGAGAAUCCACUACUCUCUGCAUCAGCACCAUAGGUUAAUGAAUCCACAUUUGAGCCAACAAGCCAAUGGCAUUAGAUUCUUCAAAGUUUCUAUAUGUACAUAUACAAUAAACUACCAAUAACCAUCAAUCUCUUAAUAAAUUUAGACUCACUGUGGUGGUUCUACAUGUAUGGUGAUUAACCUCAUAAAAAGAAAUUUCAUGGCCUUGAUAGAAAAUCUAUCUGACUUGUUUUGUCGGGACUUAUAAAUAAAAGAAGCAUAUUAUAGGUUCUUCUAAAUGACUCUCAAUGGACGAAACUCCAAACAUGUAUCUUUCAUGUCCUUCUUUUUUUCCUCUAUAAAAUGCAACCAUUGAGGAUGUGAGCUUCAUGCAAAGACGAAGGGGAAACAUAAUCUUUCAGUGAAAAAGAGUGAUGAAAGAGCCGAAGAAAAAGUUUUUGGUGAGUGUGAAUGUUCUUGGAAGCGUUGGUCCUAUAAGGUUUUUGGUCAAUGAAGACGAUAACGUUUCAAGUGUUAUUAACACAGCUUUGAAAACCUAUGCUCGUCAAGGCAGGAUCCCGGUUCUAGGGUUAGAUGUCAACAACUUCAUUUUCUACUCCAAUAGUGCAGGAUUCAACACUUUGAAUCCACAAGAGAAGAUAGGCUCAAUGGAUGAAACGAACUUCUUGCUCUGCAAGAGAGAGCGAGAACCACUGGAAAAGGUCGAAGGAAGAGAAGAGAGUAAAGCUCGUGAAGGCAAGGGUUGGAAGAAUCGUCUUCGUCGGUCCUUAUUAGGAGAAUUUCUAUACAAAAACAAAUCUAACUCUACAAAAGUUGCAAGAACUGGAUCAUUAUAUCAGUGAUCCUUUUUCUUGCAAAUAUAUAUUUCAUUAAACUUAACGGGGUUUUCAAUACAAAUGUUAUUACUUACACUAAUAUAGUAGAUACAAUUUACAGCUCUUCAUAUAUAUACUUUUAUGUAGUAUAUUCUCAUUUGACGAUUUUAGCUGCGACUUCUGUAACACUACUUGCCUGAAAUUCGAUGCAACUUCCAAACAUAUAAAAUGCAUCAUAAAUUAUAAAACAGGAUUUUGAUGACAUUACCAGGAAACUAAUCAUAUCAUAAUUGAAUCUGCAGCAGCAGUAUUUGGGAAAGGUAACUAGACUUGGUCUAGGCAACAGAAAAAAAUAUCUUGUUGUUUCUGUUUCUGUUUCUGUUUCUGCGCUAAAGCUUUGAAGAUUCAAAAGCAUGCAUAUAAGAAUUUCACAAUCCCUUGACCAAUCUUUGUUUUUUUUAAUCAACCCUUGAAUAAUCUUAAGAGUAAUUUUAACAUAAAUGACUAUGCCUUCUAUAAGUUUACGGUUGCUCAAAACACUAAAUUAUCUUGAUGUACAUGUUGAUGCCAUUUACAUUUGAAAUAGUUUGGCGAGACAUGAGUACUCGAGACCAACCAACAAUCACUAAUGAAAUGCAGAGAAUUUCCAGGUUAUGAAAUUUGUAAGAAGGUUGUAGUCAAACAGUGAUGUGAAACACUAAAUGAAAACUUCAAUAUUCCUCUGCUUUAGCAGUUAUUCAUUGGCUUCCUACGGUGGUUAUUAUUUGUAUUACAAAUAUAUAUUUUUUUUUUGAAAAAGUAUUACAAAUAUUUUUUAUCAAAAUUAUAAUGCACCGAAAUUAUUUAGUCCAGUCUGUAGAAAAAGCUCUGAAAUAUGAAAACGGAAACCUAAGAAAAAUCAUUUGGAAAUAUCACAACAAUCGAUUAAUCAUAUAUUAAUUACUACUAAUAUCUUCAUCAAAAGUCAUGACCACGUUUUUCAGAAACGGUCAAAGACUAAGGGGGGGCUGUAUUCAAUUUGGAAGUGAUUUGUAUUAAAAUGACAAAUCUAAUGUUAUUCAAACAUGAAUUUAAAAAAAUACUUUGAAAUCAAGUGUUAUUGAACAUGUUAUUUUAUAAUACACUCUGAAAUUCACUGUUAUUGAACAAAAUUUAAGUUAGAGAUUUUAAAGUGCUUUAAGUGUUUCUAGAGUGUUUGAGAAGAGUUCUUUAGUUAUAAAAAUCAAAAUCAAAAUCAUAUGGUUUUAUAUGGGAUUCUAGAGUUAUUUAACAAAAAUCACACCAAAUUCUCAAAUUUUUCUACAAUCAUUUGAAAACUAAUUAAAAAUCAAAUCACUUCAAAUUUCAGAUUCAAUACACCCCUCCCUAAAUUAUUUUUGGAAACUAUAAAAACAAAUCAGCAUAUAUAUAAGAGAUUUAGAUGUUGUUUAUGACACAGAUCCAAUCUUUUUGUUCGUUUUAAAGUUUCGGAUUUCUUGUCCAGUGUUUAGGAGAGAAAAAGGUAAAAAGAAAAGUAUAAUAGUCGUCGAGGAUAUGCAGAACAGAAACGUAAGCCUAACUGUGGAUGGUUCUGAUACUAUUGAAAACCUAAAGGAUAUGAUCGAGGAGAGUGAAGGCGUCCCAGCGGAAAUGCAGAGGCUCAUCUUUUCAGGCAAGCAACUUCAAGAUGGUCACAACAUAGCAGACUACAACAUCCAAAACGGUUCAUUCAUUCACUUGGUUCUGCGUCUACUUGGCGGUUUCUGAAUGUGCAACAAGAAACAGAAUGUUGGUCUCCGUUGUUAUCUAUUAAAUCAAUAAAUUGAAGUGUUUAUUUUCUGAAUAACCAAAUUUUCUAGUAUUCAAUAAAACAAAAUGUCUGAUCUAAAAGACUUUAGAAUUUUUUUUGCAUGAUAUCAAAUUCUUAAGAUUGAUUUGUU